AUAUUUGUAUAUAAUGUAUAUUUAUGUACAUUCAUAUAUAUGUGUAUAUACAUAUAUACAUACACAUAUAUGUAUAUAUAUUAUAUAUAUAUUAUAUAUACAGAGAGAGACAGAGAAUAUGUUUAUUAAGCAGCUAGGUGGUACAGUGGAUAGAGUGCCAGGCCUGAAGUCAGGAGGACCUGAGUUCAAAUCCGGCCUCAGACCGAACACUUGACACUUAGUAGCUCUGUGACCCUGGGCAAGUCACUUAACCCCAAUUGCCUUAAAAAAGAAAAAAAAUGUUUCAAAUCUGGCUUCAGACACUUACUAGCUGUGUUACCCUGGGCAAGUCACUUCACUGCCUCAGUUUUCUCAUCUGUAAAAUAAGAAGGAAAUGGCAAGCCAUUCCAGUUAUCUUUGACAAAACAAAAUAAAAUAAAUGGGAUCAUGAAGAGUUGGACACAAUCGAACAACAACAACAAACAAAAACUGUGAUAAAUUCUGCAGGUAGAAGAGCAGGCAAGCAGGACAGCCCCUGCGCUCCAGGGGAGGAAUCUACACGUCUAGGUAUGGCAUGCAGUGGCAGUAUAGUGUGGGGAGGACAGAGAAGAGAGAUGGAGACCUGAGCCCAGGCAAAACAAGGCAAGAGCUCACCAGGAGAUUGUUUCCUUUCUGGUUGGUUUUUAGGAAUUCUGGAGGUUGCCAGGCACACUUUGACCACAGUGCAUUUGUGGCCCUUGAACACAGAGGACUGAGAUUAACAUAAAAGUCGCAAAAGAUGACUGUGACUAAGAGGGGUAGAGUUUGUCGUUUUCAGCAUCAUUAGCUGCAUUGUUGGCCUUUUCUAUAUAAUGGUUAUAAUAAUUGAUGCUUAAUAAUUUUCUUUAUUUUUUUCCUUCCUAGAAGCACUUGCAAUUCUGACAGUUGACAUUUUACCUGCCAGAAGCUCUAUAUGUGUGACCUUCCCCCCUCACGAACAAAGCACCUGCCUGGGGAGUCUGGGAGCUCGUGUGUAUCUGCAUAUUUGGGGCUGUCCAGUGCAACCUCUGGGAUUGGGGGUCUAAGUUUCCUGGUUUCCCAGUUUGAGAUCAGGGAGAUGCUGCUGAAGAAAGCAGUGCGUUGCAGAGGUGGAACAAUGAAUGAAACAGCCGGAGCGCCUCGUGCUUCGCUGCUGUAUUAUCAGCGGCAGAAUCUGCGCUGGCUCACCUCAUCAAUGAGAGACUGAAGCAAGAUGGACUUGGAGAUCAUGGUCUUUCACACUGGGAGCAGCAGAGGACAGCCGAGGACAGCAUACAGCCUGGAAGUACCAGUAUAGAACAAGAAAGCUCAUGCAGUCUGUGCCACCAAUUUCCUUAAUGUUCCCCCAGGCAAGUCAUGAAGUCUCCCUGGGCUCAAUUUUUCUCACUUUGAAAAUGAGUAGACUUUAUGCGCCACUCUUGUUUUUCAAGCUGAGAUGCUGUAGUUUUCUGAACAUCUGCUCUGCAUUGCUCUACUCUGGUGUUCUCUACAGGGUAAAUCACAGGCGGUGUUUUUUAUGAGGGGGAAGAGGAGAGAAAAAUUGGGAAUCAUAGGAACAUAGAUUAAGAACCUUAGGACCUUAGAAAUCUGCCUUCAUUUUAUAGUGAGGAAACAGAAAGAUUCAGAGAGUUUAAGUGAUUUGCCCAGGGUCGCACAGUAAGGCCUAACGCAGGAAUUAGACCAGGUUUUGCUGAUUCAGAAGUCCAGCUCUCUAUUGCCUCUUGAUUUAGUCAUAGAAUCAUAGAGCAUCAGGGUUGGAAGGAGUCUCAGAGAUGAGCAAACCCAGCCCAUGCCUGGCCAAUACUGUCUAUAAUAUCUGAUAAAGAGGUAAAGAACAUCAAGGAGCAGUGGAUUAGCAGAGUUGGUUGCUGUUACAUAGCAGCAUUGGGCUGGGGAACCCGUGACACCAAGGCCACAUCUGGCUGGCCCUGGAGAACAGAACUAGGAACAGAGUGUGGAAAUUGUCAUGAGGCCACUUUAGGCUGGAUAGCAGGAAGAACUUCCUAUCAUUGAGAGCUGACCAGAAAGAAAUGGGCUGCCUCUAGAGGGGGAUGAGUCCCCUCUCCUCUAAGGGCUCUGAGCAGAGCUUUGGUGGCUACCUGCUGGGUAAAUCAUAGUGGGGAUCCAUUUGGGGGUACAUGUUGUACUAGAUGGGCACUGAGGUCCCUUCCAAUUCUAGAAUUUUCUGACUCUGUAAAAUUGAGGCAUAAUUCCAAAGCACUGGCUUUUGGAGUGAAAAAAAAAAGAUUUGAAAUCUCACUUUUGUCAUUUAAUAGCUGUAUGACCUUGGACUUACCCUCCCGAGGGCUCAGUUUCCUUAUGUGUAAAAUAAAGAAGUUGGACUCGGUGACCA
ensembl:lncRNA